ACAUACGGCCACAGAUUCGUGAAUAUAGGCCAUCCCGUCCGCUCUGGCAAACUCAAGCACGGAAUCGCGAGACUAGUACUACGGUGGGUGACCACGUGGGAAUCCCUCGUGCUGUAUGUU
rfam:Dothistroma septosporum NZE10 unplaced genomic scaffold DOTSEscaffold_11, whole genome shotgun sequence.